ensembl:lncRNA
GGGGGAUUUUCCAAGAAAAAUGCAUGAUUUUCUUUUUAGAUGGGGGAUUUUCAUAGAGAAAAGGCAUGAUUUUUGUGUUAAGUGGGGGAUAUUUGCAAAGAAAAGGCGUGAUUUUCGGGUUACGUGGGAGAUUUUUGAAGAGAAAAUGUGUGAUAUUCGAGAUAAACCAGGGAUUCUUGAAGAGAAAAUGCAUCAUUUUCGGGUUAAAUGGGGGAUUCUCGAAGAGAAAUUGCAUUUUCUUCUGGUUAAAUGGGGGGUUUUCGAAGGCAAAAUGCGUGAUUUUCACUUCAAUGGGGGAUUUUCCAAGAGAAAAUGCAUGAUUUUCUUUUUAGAUGGGGGAUUUUCAUAGAGAAAAGGCAUGAUUUUUGUGUUAAGUGGGGGAUAUUUGCAAAGAAAAGGCGUGAUUUUCGGGUUAAAUAGGGGAUUUUUGAAGAGAAAAUGCGUGAUUUGGGGUUAAAUGGGGG